GCCCCCCACCUCCUCCCACCCCCGCUCGGGCUGCGGCCUUUGGCAAGUUUGGUCACCUCCCGGGCGCCGGCGCUGGGGACCACGAGAGGGACAGAGCCUGGCCCUCGGGGCGCCCACAGUCUGGGGAGAAAGUAACCCCGGUUCAAAAAAACGGAUCAUCUGGGCGAGUGGGCCAAUGGAAAUCCUAACGCCUCUGACCAGAUUUCUUUGCCAGCGUGGAGACGCUCGGAGCCUCUUCUGAAAACACCAUCGAGAGCAUAAGAGGGGAGGGGGAAGAAGACGGAGACGGAGAGCGAGAGGGG